UCCUGCCGGACCUGACUGCUAUCGGAUUGAUACUAAGCCAUGCGAGUCAUUGUAGCAAUACAAGGCAGACGGCUCAGUAACGCGUAGUCAACCUACCCUAUGGACGGGAAUAACCUCGGGAAACUGAGUAUAAUGCCCGAUAGAACAUUAUGCCUGGAAUGGUUUAUGUUCCAAAUGAUUUAUCGCCGUAGGAUGGGACUGCGGCCUAUCAGUUUGUUGGUGAGGUAAUGGCCCACCAAGACUAUUACAGGUACGGGCUCUGAGAGGAGUAGCCCGGAGAUGGGUACUGAGACACGGACCCAGGCCCUAUGGGGCGCAGCAGGCGAGAAAACUUUGCAAUGUGCGAAAGCACGACAAGGUUAAUCCGAGUGGUUUCUGCUAAAGGAACCUUUUGUUAGUCCUAAAAACACUAACGAAUAAGGGGUGGGCAAGUUCUGGUGUCAGCCGCCGCGGUAAAACCAGCACCUCAAGUGGUCAGGAUGAUUAUUGGGCCUAAAGCAUCCGUAGCCUGCUCUGUAAGUUUUCGGUUAAAUCUGUAUGCUCAACAUACAGGCCGCCGGGAAUACUGCAGAGCUAGGGAGUGGGAGAGGUAGACGGUACUCGGGAGGAAGUGGUAAAAUGCUUUGAUCUCUCGAUGACCACCUGUGGCGAAGGCGGUCUACCAGAACACGUCCGACGGUGAGGGAUGAAAGCUGGGGGAGCAAACCGGAUUAGAUACCCGGGUAGUCCCAGCUGUAAACGAUGCAGACUCGAUGAUGCAUUGGCAUAAUAGCCAGUGCAGUGUCGCAGGGAAGCCGUUAAGUCUGCCGCCUGGGAAGUACGUACGCAAGUAUGAAACUUAAAGGAAUUGGCGGGGGAGCACCACAAGGGGUGAAGCCUGCGGUUCAAU
rnacentral:rRNA from 1 species